rnacentral:lncRNA from 1 species
CAAAGGCUCAUGAGAAAAAAAAAUCAACGUGGCAACAUCUUAAGAACAGAGAGAGAAGUUUUGGAGGCUAGAAGUAAAGAAGUCAAGGUGUUGUAAGGGGAGUGCUGUCACUAAAACAGGUUAUUUGAUAAUUAUCAAGCACUGUUCCAAGAAUGAGGAUUUCAGUAUUAGGUAUGUUUUGCCUUUUCUUUCUUUUAUCUUCUUUUUCAUUUUCAUGAAAAAAUGCUAAAAUAAUUUUUUAAAAGAUAAGAAUACUAAACUGACUGGGGUUCACUGUUUAAGCUUUACUUUUCUUUAAUUUCAAAGCCUGCUACUCAGUCAAUGAAAUUAAUGAUGAGGAAAUUGAGAAUCAAUGAAAGGAAAUAUGUUCUUUGCUUUAUGUGUAGUCAGGUAAUAGAAUACUCUGACACAGAUGAGGUCAAGUCAAAUAAUGUGGUUGGAUAUGAAAAUAGAGGAGAUAGCUUUAUCUUCAUUCAUAGCACUUAUAGUUAUUACUCUAUUGAUCAAACACAGGGAAAAUUUAUCUUUUGCUUCUAGGCAUAUUGAUAUGUUGAUUGUCUGCAAAGAUAAAUGUGCCAUAUUUUGAUCUUCUGGGAAUUUAUGUUUCAGUGUGAAAACAUGGGAGGGCUCAUGUGUAGGAUUUAUUCUGGUGCUUCCAGAAAAGGUUUAAAUCAGACACUUAAACUGAACUUGUAUGGCAAAUAAAAUUAUUCAAAUCUCAUUCUCUGAGACUUUAAAAAAUAAGCAAUGAAACAAUUAUUAAAGUAAAAACGAAUAGAAAGAUA